UACGUAGGGCGCAAGCGUUGUCCGGAAUUAUUGGGCGUAAAGCGCACGUAGGCGGCUUGGCAAGUCGGAUGUGAAAUCCCUCGGCUCAACCAAGGAAGUGCAUCCGAAACUGCUGAGCUUGAGUACUUAAGAGGAUCGCGGAAUUCCCGGUGUAGAGGUGAAAUUCGUAGAUAUCGGGAGGAACACCAGUGGCGAAGGCGGCGAUCUGGGAAGAUACUGACGCUGAGGUGCGAAAGCGUGGGGAGCAAACAGG
rnacentral:rRNA from 1 species